GUGUUUUACACGGUGACUACACCGACGACGUUUUGACUGUGCAAUGGUUCUCGGAGGCCGCAUGACCAAAUCUCUGGCGGCUACGACAGCCACUUCUCGGCGUCUCACAGUCAUAGAGGUCGUGGAUAAAGCCCAAAGUCAAGGACUCUAUUUGCUUCAGAUAUCAUACGAGCUGGAGACUGCAUUUUGAACGUUCCUUGCCAUGUGGAACUGUCGCCGGAUUGGUCUUGAUCCAGAUAUUAAUACUUUUUUAAAUGGUGAAGUUAGCUGUGAUGCAAAGCUCGCCAUUGUAAUUCUAGUCAAGAAAAUAUCGGGAUGGGAUUCUGAUUGGGCCACUCACAUCAGUUGUUUUCCUUAGCUUGAGGAUAUGCAUAACACAGUAUGUGUUCUCUCUUUUAGAAUAUUGAUUUUUACCCUGUGUUUUAACAAAUUUCUUUCUUGUAUUUUUGGAUUAUUCUUCACUGAAGGAAAAGAUAUUCUCUUGUCACACAGUUAGAAAAAAGAAAGUUCCAAGUGGCAAGUCAUGAUUUCUAAUUUUUUUUUUUUUUAAGAGUGCCAAGACCGAAACACAAACUAACAGAAUGUAAACAGGGUAUUAUGAUGUUGUAUUAACAAAAAGGCAGAAAUAUGAAAUUGGCAGUGGUUUUUCAAUUGUAAAAGUUGCUUCUGCUCCUAAAAGGUUCACUUUUAACCGAGUGAAAAUGCUGUUUUCAU